rnacentral:rRNA from 1 species
AGAACGAACGCUGGCGGCAUGCCUAAUACAUGCAAGUCGAACGAACACUUCGGUGUUAGUGGCGCACGGGUGCGUAACGCGUGGGAAUCUGCCCUUGGGUUCGGAAUAACAGCGAGAAAUUGCUGCUAAUACCGGAUGAUGACGUAAGUCCAAAGAUUUAUCGCCCAAGGAUGAGCCCGCGUAGGAUUAGCUUGUUGGUGAGGUAAGAGCUCACCAAGGCGACGAUCCUUAGCUGGUCUGAGAGGAUGAUCAGCCACACUGGGACUGAGACACGGCCCAGACUCCUACGGGAGGCAGCAGUGGGGAAUAUUGGACAAUGGGCGAAAGCCUGAUCCAGCAAUGCCGCGUGAGUGAUGAAGGCCUUAGGGUUGUAAAGCUCUUUUACCCGGAUGAUAAUGACAGUACCGGAGAAUAAGCUCCGGCUAACUCCGUGCCAGCAGCCGAC